rnacentral:tRNA from 2 species
GGAGGGGUGGCAGAGCGGUUGAAUGCACUGGUCUUGAAAACCAGAGUCCGUGAAAGCGGAUCGCGGGUUCGAAUCCCGCCCCCUCCG